AAGCCUGCGAAGGUGUGCUGUGAGGCAUGCUGGAGGUAUCAGAAGUGCGAAUGCUGACAUAAGUAACGAUAAAGCGGGUGAAAAGCCCGCUCGCCGGAAGACCAAGGGUUCCUGUCCAACGUUAAUCGGGGCAGGGUGAGUCGACCCCUAAGGCGAGGCCGAAAGGCGUAGUCGAUGGGAAACAGGUUAAUAUUCCUGUACUUGGUGUUACUGCGAAGGGGGGACGGAGAAGGCUAUGUUGGCCGGGCGACGGUUGUCCCGGUUUAAGCGUGUAGGCUGGUUUUCCAGGCAAAUCCGGAAAAUCAAGGCUGAGGCGUGAUGACGAGGCACUACGGUGCUGAAGCAACAAAUGCCCUGCUUCCAGGAAAAGCCUCUAAGCAUCAGGUAACAUCAAAUCGUACCCCAAACCGACACAGGUGGUCAGGUAGAGAAUACCAAGGCGCUUGAGAGAACUCGGGUGAAGGAACUAGGCAAAAUGGUGCCGUAACUUCGGGAGAAGGCACGCUGAUAUGUAGGUGAAGUCCCUUGCGGAUGGAGCUGAAAUCAGUCGAAGAUACCAGCUGGCUGCAACUGUUUAUUAAAAACACAGCACUGUGCAAACACGAAAGUGGACGUAUACGGUGUGACGCCUGCCCGGUGCCGGAAGGUUAAUUGAUGGGGUCAGCGCAAGCGAAGCUCUUGAUCGAAGCCCCGGUAAACGGCGGCCGUAACUAUAACGGUCCUAAGGUAGCGAAAUUCCUUGUCGGGUAAGUUCCGACCUGCACGAAUGGCGUAAUGAUGGCCAGGCUGUCUCCACCCGAGACUCAGUGAAAUUGAACUCGCUGUGAAGAUGCAGUGUACCCGCGGCAAGACGGAAAGACCCCGUGAACCUUUACUAUAGCUUGACACUGAACAUUGAGCCUUGAUGUGUAGGAUAGGUGGGAGGCUUUGAAGUGUGGACGCCAGUCUGCAUGGAGCCGGCCUUGAAAUACCACCCUUUAAUGUUUGAUGUUCUAACGUGGACCCGUGAUCCGGGUUGCGGACAGUGUCUGGUGGGUAGUUUGACUGGGGCGGUCUCCUCCUAAAGAGUAACGGAGGAGCACGAAGGUUGGCUAAUCCUGGUCGGACAUCAGGAGGUUAGUGCAAUGGCAUAAGCCAGCUUGACUGCGAGCGUGACGGCGCGAGCAGGUGCGAAAGCAGGUCAUAGUGAUCCGGUGGUUCUGAAUGGAAGGGCCAUCGCUCAACGGAUAAAAGGUACUCCGGGGAUAACAGGCUGAUACCGCCCAAGAGUUCAUAUCGACGGCGGUGUUUGGCACCUCGAUGUCGGCUCAUCACAUCCUGGGGCUGAAGUAGGUCCCAAGGGUAUGGCUGUUCGCCAUUUAAAGUGGUACGCGAGCUGGGUUUAGAACGUCGUGAGACAGUUCGGUCCCUAUCUGCCGUGGGCGCUGGAGAACUGAGGGGGGCUGCUCCUAGUACGAGAGGACCGGAGUGGACGCAUCACUGGUGUUCGGGUUGUCAUGCCAAUGGCACUGCCCGGUAGCUAAAUGCGGAAGAGAUAAGUGCUGAAAGCAUCUAAGCACGAAACUUGCCCCGAGAUGAGUUCUCCCUGACCCUUUAAGGGUCCUGAAGGAACGUUGAAGACGACGACGUUGAUAGGCCGGGUGUGUAAGCGCAGCGAUGCGUUGAGCUAACCGGUACUAAUGAACCGUGAGGCUUAACCUUACAACGCCGAAG
rnacentral:rRNA from 1 species